ACCCUGACCAAAACAGACCGCGCACGCGUCAUCCAGCCUGCCGGCGACGGCACCGUUCAUCGCUUGGCCAAGUCCUCGACAACCUCCUCUCCUCGGAAUGGGGGCUCGGGGUAAAAGAACCCACGGCGCCAAAGGCGUCAAGGAACACUGUGCCUAGCCCGGGGACGCGGCUGGCUUGCUGGCCGCCCCCCGUGCUGGAAUGCUAUUUAAUCCACACGACUCUCGGCAACGGAUAUCUCGGCUCUCGCAUCGAUGAAGAACGUAGCGAAAUGCGAUACCUGGUGUGAAUUGCAGAAUCCCGCGAACCAUCGAGUCUUUGAACGCAAGUUGCGCCCGAGUCCAUUUGGCCGAGGGCACGCCUGCCUGGGCGUCACGCCAAACACGCUCCUGCCCCCUCAUCGUGGGAGCGGGAUGCGGCAAUGUGGCCCCCCGUCAUGCAAGUGGCGGUGGGCCUAAGAUAUGGCUGCCGGCGUAUCGUGCCGGACACAGCGCGUGGUGGGCGACCUCGCUUUACUUACCGCAGUGCAUCCGAUGCGUAGCCGACGUGAUGGCCUUGAAGGACCCUAGAAACGGNGCAGACGACGCUCC
rnacentral:rRNA from 1 species